GACAACGCUGGCGGCGUGUCUAACACAUGCAAGUCGAACGGACUUACGGAGCUUGCUCCGUGAGUUAGUGGCGAACGGGUGAGUAACGCGUGAGCAACCUGCCUUUCAGAGGGGGACAACGGUUGGAAACGACCGCUAAUACCGCAUGAAGCAUUUUGACCGCAUGAUCGAAAUGCCAAGGAUUUAUCGCUGAAAGAUGGGCUCGCGUCUGAUUAGAUAGUUGGCGGGGUAACGGCCCACCAAGUCGACGAUCAGUAGCCGGACUGAGAGGUUGAACGGCCACAUUGGGACUGAGAUACGGCCCAGACUCC
rnacentral:rRNA from 1 species